GAUGAACGCUAGCUACAGGCUUAACACAUGCAAGUCGAGGGGAAACGAUAGAGAAAGCUUGCUUUUUCUAGGCGUCGACCGGCGCACGGGUGAGUAACGCGUAUCCAACCUGCCCAUCACUCGGGGAUAACCUUGCGAAAGUAAGACUAAUACCCAAUGACGUCUCUAGAAGACAUCUGAAAGAGAUUAAAGAUUUAUCGGUGAUGGAUGGGGAUGCGUCUGAUUAGCUUGUUGGCGGGGUAACGGCCCACCAAGGCGACGAUCAGUAGGGGUUCUGAGAGGAAGGUCCCCCACAUUGGAACUGAGACACGGUCCAAACUCCUACGGGAGGCAGCAGUGAGGAAUAUUGGUCAAUGGACGAGAGUCUGAACCAGCCAAGUAGCGUGCAGGAUGACGGCCCUAUGGGUUGUAAACUGCUUUUAUAAGGGAAUAAAGUGAGUCUCGUGAGACUUUUUGCAUGUACCUUAUGAAUAAGGACCGGCUAAUUCCGUGCCAGCCGCCGCCGUAAUAC
rnacentral:rRNA from 1 species